rnacentral:misc_RNA from 1 species
AAAUCAUGCGAAAUACCUUAUGCUAUUACUCGCUCACUAUUAGAGUAAAACUUGUUUUGAAAACUGAUUUAUUCUUGUAAUAUCUAUAUCCAUGUCGCUACCAUGUCGAUUUAUUUUUAUUUUUUAUUUAAACAAAAAUAUUUUUUUUAAUUUCAAAGGGAUCCAUUUUUUCAAGAAAAACAGGUAGUCAUUUUGAAGAUUUGAUGAUAAAAAAUUUUUAUCAUUUUUCAGCUUGAAAAUCGAACCAGUGGUUCCAUCGGAAUCAUAUUUACAAGUUUUAUCUCUAUGAUUUUUUAUGCGCUCCUACCCUCCACCCCAUCCAAACGUCACUCAGGCACCUUCUACCCCAACACACAAGUCACUCACCCACCACCCCACCCACAAGUCAGCCUUCAUUCUUAGUGCUCAGGCUGGUCACAACUUUUCUUAGUUCUUCAGCUUGUUCACUUGUCAUAUUGACAGUGAUCGUGGCUAGUCCUAGGACAUAGUAUUUCCAGACGCACUUCACAUAUAAUUUAGAUUUCCGUAUUAUAUAUGUUUCUCUGGCAUUUUCGGCCGGUAAAAUGGAUUCAAGACAUACGGUGAAGGGAAAGAAGAAGUUGGUUCUUUCAGCCAGGAGAAUGAAAAGGCGGCUACCACCAGAAUUUCAUGCUAACAGACGUAGAAGGAUUGAAGAACAAACCUUAUCGCUCGAAGCGCCUUCAUCUUCCCAGGCUGACAGUGUUUCAGCAGAUGCCAUUUCUGUAUCCACUGAGAACUUUCAACCCAGUGCAACGUCAACUCCUAAAGGAAAGAAGAGAAGACCACACAACAGAAAAGUACCAGUGCAUUUGAUGAAAUUGAGAUUACAGCAAAAGAAAUCUAAAGGAGAAGAAAAAUCAGGGCCAUCAACAUCUUCUUCCACCUUAUAGUCAAAUCUAAAAAAAAGCGUCCUUGAUGGCACCUCUGAUUUUGCUACAAUUGUGCCACCAUUCCCCUCAAUUGGUCUACAACCAGCUUUGAACCAUGAGAUUGAUACCACCUCAAUGCGAAAUAGUGGAGUUUCUUACGUGGAGAGUAACGUCUGUGAUACUUUACUAACAAGAUAUGAUGAGUAUCCAGAUCUAAUAGUUGAGCCGGAUGGAAGACCACCCAAAGACGAUUUUAAUAUUAUUUCUGGCCGAUUUAUUGUGGACAGCAAACAUCUUGUGCAAGAAUUGAGAUCUUUGGACUACCAUAGAUACGAGUGUGAAAAAAGUGAUAAUGGUUAUAUGACACUGGUGUCUUCAACUUCAAAAUCAUCAGAAUGGACAAUGAAGUUCGUUGUAUGGACAGCUCCACGAACCAGCUGCCAUAAAUGCGUUUCAAGAAAUGGAAGAAAUUCAAGUUCAGCCUUGCGGUUUGUUUGUUGACAAAGAACAUGACUUCUUGGCGGCUUCACCUGACGGACUGGUCGGAGGUGAUAAUCUGAUUGAGGUGAAAUGUCCGAAGUCUGCUGAAAACCUCACUAUCAGCGAAGCCGUGAUCAAAGUGAAAUCAUUCUGCUUGGAAAAACUACGUUGUGGAAACGUCCGUCUCAAGAAAAACCACAAUUAUUAUUACCAGGUGCAAGGGCAACUACAUGUAGCUGAGAAAAAAUCUGUUAUUUUGUAGUAUGGACAAAAAAGAUAUCCAUAUUGAAAAGAUCGAGAGGGGUGUUGGUUUUGGACCGAGAAGAUGGAGAAAAAAUUAAUUUAUUUCUACCAUCACGCCUUGUUGCCAGAGAUACUGGAUCCUCGAACUUGUCGAAGUAUGGCAAUCAGGGAGCCAUCAAUCCCUUUUUCUCAUUUUUAAAUAAAGUCUCAUUGAAAAUUA